GUACUUGCUUCAGCAGCGCAUAUACUAAAACUGGAAUCACACAGAGAAGAUCAGCAUGCCCUCUGCACAAAGACAACAUGCAAAUUCAUGAAGCACUCCACACACAC